rnacentral:rRNA from 1 species
UCUGGUGGUUAUGGCGAGGGGCAAUGCACCCGAUACCAUCCCGAACUCGGUCGUGAAAACCCUCUGCGCCGAUGGUACUGCGUCCUAAGACGUGGGAGAGUAGGACACCGCCAGGC